rnacentral:piRNA from 1 species
UAACACUUGAAGUGCAGAGGAUGGGGAGU